rnacentral:rRNA from 1 species
CUCCAGACUCCUACGGGAGGCAGCAGUGGGGAAUAUUGCACAAUGGGGGAAACCCUGAUGCAGCGACGCCGCGUGAGCGAUGAAGUAUUUCGGUAUGUAAAGCUCUAUCAGCAGGGAAGAAGAUGACGGUACCUGACUAAGAAGCCCCGGCUAACUACGUGCCAGCAGCCGCGGUAAUACGUAGGGGGCAAGCGUUAUCCGGAUUUACUGGGUGUAAAGGGAGCGUAGACGGCGAUGCAAGCCAGAUGUGAAAGCCCGGGGCUCAACCCCGGGACUGCAUUUGGAACUGUGUGGCUGGAGUGUCGGAGAGGCAGGCGGAAUUCCUAGUGUAGCGGUGAAAUGCGUAGAUAUUAGGAGGAACACCAGUGGCGAAGGCGGCCUGCUGGACGAUGACUGACGUUGAGGCUCGAAAGCGUGGGGAGCAAACAGGAUUAGAUACCCUCGUAA